UGGAGUGAUGCUUCUCGACU
rnacentral:siRNA from 1 species